rnacentral:rRNA from 1 species
GAUGAACGCUGGCGGCGUGCCUAAUACAUGCAAGUCGAGCGAAUGGAUUAAGAGCUUGCUCUUAUGAAGUUAGCGGCGGACGGGUGAGUAACACGUGGGUAACCUGCCCAUAAGACUGGGAUAACUCCGGGAAACCGGGGCUAAUACCGGAUAACAUUUUGAACCGCAUGGUUCGAAAUUGAAAGGCGGCUUCGGCUGUCACUUAUGGAUGGACCCGCGUCGCAUUAGCUAGUUGGUGAGGUAACGGCUCACCAAGGCAACGAUGCGUAGCCGACCUGAGAGGGUGAUCGGCCACACUGGGACUGAGACACGGCCCAGACUCCUACGGGAGGCAGCAGUAGGGAAUCUCCCGCAAUGGACGAAAGUCUGACGGAGCAAUGCCGCGUGAGUGAUGAAGGCUUUCGGGUCGUAAAACUCUGUUGUUAGGGAAGAACAAGUGCUAGUUGAAUAAGCUGGCACCUUGACGGUACCUAACCAGAAAGCCACGGCUAACUACGUGCCAGCAGCCGCCGUAA